UACAGAGGGUGCAAGCGUUGUUCGGAAUUAUUGGGCGUAAAGGGCGCGUAGGCGGGUGUUUAAGUCAGAGGUCAAAUCCCAGAGCUCAACUCUGGAACUGCCUUUGAUACUGGACACCUAGAGUACGGGAGAGGUGUGUGGAACUCCGAGUGUAGAGGUGAAAUUCGUAGAUAUUCGGAAGAACACCAGUGGCGAAGGCGACACACUGGCCCGUUACUGACGCUGAGGCGCGAAAGCGUGGGGAGCAAACAGG
rnacentral:rRNA from 1 species